UUAUUAAAUGAGAACAGACACUUAAGCAAAAAGGGUGCGAGCCACUAACUGGGAAAUUGUGAAAAAGAUAGGUCUAGUUAUGUUAUGGAUACUUGUUAUUGAUAUUGUCCAAUGUGCAUAUUACUAUUACAUUAUAUUUGAAGCUGUUGAGGGAGAUAUUGGUGGACUACGUCGAUAUAAUCAAAAACAAAUGUGCAGACACAAAUACAAAUAAACGGAAAUUUCAUGCUUGGCAGACGGUGUUUGUAAGGUUUGCAACAGUUCAAUGAGCUCAACGUAAGACAACGGACAUUAGUGGAGCUUAAACAACAGUGCAAAUAAGCAAAGUACAUGCCAAAAAAUUUAUAAGUGAACACCGGUGUCAGAAGUGGUGGCAGUUUACGAAUGGGCUAGACAAGACUAUCUACUAAGGCUUAAAUUGUUA